CUGGCAAGGCGGGCGGAGAGGCAGCCAAUCAGGUCCGUGCUGGCUCUCUGGUAGGCGAAUGGCAUGGCAUACUGGCCCUCUCGUCGCCCCGCCUCCCCUCCCCACUGCACCGCAGCUGCCCAGAAUGAUUUUAUAAACAUUUUGCCAGUGGAUCAAUACCUGUAUUGAUCAACCAUUGUGAGAGUGAUCCGUCUAAAACCCAGAGCAGCCUAGAGCUCAGAGAUGGGAGGAGCGAAACAGAGAGGCUGCAGAGAGGAUGGAGAAAGAGAGAGAGUCUGCAGCCACAGUGAAAGGGAGAAGAGGUACAAGGGAAGAGAAGGGAAUCUGAGAGAGCAGCAGACGCAGAGCUGAAGGCAGGUGGGGAGGCAGGUUUCGGACAGCGCUGCCAGGCCACUGGGACUGGGGAGAAACCUAUGAGAAAACACUGGAAUGGCAAAGAUGUACAGUUUGCUUGGUGACAACGUGGGACAGAGAAGGCCCAGCACACACUGCGCUCCUGACUUCAGCUGUUGUGUUGUGUCAAAGUGGAAAAUCAAAGACCUCGUGGAAAGGAAUAGCCUGCAUCCUGGAUACAAACAUCCAUGGAGGAAGUAACAGGAACAUUUAUGAUCUGGGCAAAGCUGAAUGUUUAAUCAACACCGACGUCAAACUCAAAUGAAAAUGGCUGCAAGACGAUAGCGUCAACUGUGCCUAACAGAUUCUUGCUGUUUUGAGCUGAUGUGGAUACAGCUAGCUCGGGAUGUUUCUCACAUUUUGGCAUUUAUUGGAUUUAAUUUUUAUCAUAUUUUGAAUUUUGUUGGAAUUUUACUGAGGAGAUGACCGACUGAGGAUGAGUGGACCACUCAACACUCACGAUGAAUGUUCGAUUCAAGGCCCCAAGCGGUGUUGCACUGGAGGAGGAGUCAAAAGGCUUUGGGGAUCAUCCCCCAAUGCUGAAGGGAAAUCAAGUUUCCAUUGAUUGAUUUUAAAUGUGACUUCUCUGCAUAAUAGUGGAUUUGAGGGAAGAUAAAUGCCUCCAUCAAACUGUGGGGAAAGACCUUGAUGCCAUGAACUCACUCUGUAUUUGAGCUGUGGUGGGGGAGCAUUCAGAGAUAAAGGCCUACUCUCUACUGGAGGUUGAAUUCAAAGUAUGAACAUUGUGUUCCAAGGACAAGAGGCACCUACAUGCAAUUUUGUAAAUAGACUAUACAAGAAAUUAAAUAUUAUUGUGAGGUGCACAAUGCAAAUCUCUCUAAGUGCGUGGCAGUACUUAUCCUUGGCUGUGUCCAAGUUCCACACUGCAUACUAACACAAUAAGAAUGCACUGUGUAUGUUUGAUAGCAUAGUGUUUUGAUAGUCUGUAAACAAUAAAUGAAUGACAGGAAAUGAUACAACAUGGUUCCCAACAGACUUCAAUUAAAGUGUAAUUAUGGUUCUUUA